GUUUUCCUUUUGCUUCUCUCUCUUUCCGAGCCGAGGAACCGCCCAUCCCCCCCCCUUGAGGCUGAGGAGCGAGGAGGGGCGCGCUUAUGCAGUGGAAAACUAACUUUAUCACAAAGUCAUGGUGCGAUUAACGUUGGAGCUUAUUGCUAGAAGCCUUAAUCAAAAGAAUCGCAGAGAUGAAUCUUUGGCUCAACAUCUGAGAAAACUAACACAUCUGAAAUUAUCUAAUAAAAAUAUAGAUGUCAUUGAUGAUCUUUCUUUGUGUAAAAAUCUUAAUGUCCUAUAUUUAUAUGAUAAUAAUAUUAGACAGAUACAUAACUUGGACUUUGCGACAAACCUAAGACAUCUGUACCUGCAGAACAACUGCAUUAUACGAAUUGAAAAUCUAGAAUCAUUGAUAAGACUUGAAAAAUUAUAUUUGGGUGGCAACUGUAUCACUGUAGUGGAAGGCUUGGAGACUUUAGAGGAAUUGAGAGAAUUGCAUGUUGAAAGCCAGCAGCUUCCCUUAGGAGAAAAGCUCUUGUUUGACCCAAGAAGUCUUCAUUCAUUAUCCAAAUCUUUAUCAGUUUUGAAUAUCAGCAAUAAUAAUAUUGAUGAAUUAAGUGACUUAUCUAUUCUGGAAAAUAUUUCCCAUCUUAUAGCUGUUGACAACCAACUUCAUCACAUAAAGGACUUGGAAUUUAUUCUGAGUAUAUGGACUAAGUUGUACAAAAUGGAGCUGAAUGGGAAUCCUGUUUGUCAUAAGCCAAAAUACCGAGACAAAGUAAUACUGCAGUCAAAAUCUCUUGAACUUCUGGAUGGAAAAGAAAUAAAAGAAAUGGAAAGACAGUUCCUGACAAAUUGGAAAGCCUCCAGAGAUGCCAGGAAGAAAAACAAAGUAGAAAGCUUCAUUAAUGAGCAUGCAUCAUAUUCACAUUUUGAUGAUAAUGAUACAGAACAUACACAUUUUCCUAUUUACCACUUCCCAGUCUCCAGAGAGGUACACAGAACUCCUUAUAAUAAAGAAUCUCAGCCAGUAUAUGAAGAAAACAGAAAUAGUGAAAAAAUCAGCCAUUCAGCCUUGAAAGCUUCUCAAAAUGAACAGAAAGACCUAUUUGAACCUCAUCUCCUUAGACAAAUGCCUCUCUAAGCAGCUACUAGAAAGCUUCUAUAUUAUCAUCAGAACAAAAGAUAUGCUUCAGAGCCAAACAUGAAGAAAAAUUGUUUUUUACUGCAAACGAAGUGAUAUUGCACAGUCUAAAAUAUUUUGUAUUAUAGAUCCAAUUUUUCAUCUUAUGUCAAGAAUUUCCUGAAGAUCUCUGUUCCAAUAAGGUGCUUUUACAAGAUUCACCAUGUUUGCUAAUGCUGCCACCUGUUGCGCCGAAGAAGCUAGUCUUCUUACAGUCCCUAUUGUAAGACUAAAGCUGGUUAGCAGGCUACUUUAACAGUGGAAGAUAUGUUGGAUACAGAUUCUAUUGACUCAUAAUUAUGUACCUUGCUCCCUCCCCAAUUGUGUUGACCUCCCUUCUUCUAUUAUAAUGCAAAGUGUUUGUUCCUUCCAGAGAGGCUCCAAUGCAAUGUUCACAGAAGUGUUGUCAUUCAGUGUUACAACAAAUCUAGAAUCCUCCUCUCGGGUA